AGCCCUGGCAGGAGGCCGUGGGAGGGCCCUGUGCAGCAUGGCUUGUGGGUGCCACCUGUGGGUGUGUAUGCGGAAUGUGGCUGUAUGCUUCUACAGGGUCAACUUAACCCUACUGCUGUUAGUGCCACUGGCGACUGCACCAGGUCCUUGGAGGUCAGGCAGUUCCAGGUCCUGACAGGUCUUGGCCCUUGGCUCUCAGCUUCAGGACAACACAGACUGCCCGCAACUCCUGCCGCCCUCUAGCACCAAUAACUCCUGCUGCUCUCCCCUCCAGUGUAUGCAUCUGAAGAUGGUCGUGAAGACAAGAAAGAAGAAACAGUACUCCAAGAGGGACGGGUAGAAUCUUCUGUUUGGAAAUAAAGUCACGGAAAUGUUGAACG
rnacentral:lncRNA from 1 species